rnacentral:snRNA from 1 species
AUCGCUUCUCGGCCUUUUGGCUAAGAUCAAGUGUAGUAUCAGU